UGCACAAGGCGGUGGAGCAUGUGGUUUAAUUCGAUGCAACGCGAAGAACCUUACCUACUCUUGACAUCCAGAGAACUUUCCAGAGAUGGAUUGGUGCCUUCGGGAACUCUGAGACAGGUGCUGCAUGGCUGUCGUCAGCUCGUGUUGUGAAAUGUUGGGUUAAGUCCCGCAACGAGCGCAACCCUUAUCCUUUGUUGCCAGCGGUUCGGCCGGGAACUCAAAGGAGACUGCCAGUGAUAAACUGGAGGAAGGUGGGGAUGACGUCAAGUCAUCAUGGCCCUUACGAGUAGGGCUACACACGUGCUACAAUGGCAUAUACAAAGAGAAGCGACCUCGCGAGAGCAAGCGGACCUCAUAAAGUAUGUCGUAGUCCGGAUUGGAGUCUGCAACUCGACUCCAUGAAGUCGGAAUCGCUAGUAAUCGUAGAUCAGAAUGCUACGGUGAAUACAGUUCCCGGGCA
rnacentral:rRNA from 1 species